CACGUAGGCGGACUCUUAAGUCGGGGGUGAAAGCCCAGGGCUCAACCCUGGAACUGCCUUCGAUACUGGGAGUCUUGAGUAUGGUAGAGGUUGGUGGAACUGCGAGUGUAGAGGUGAAAUUCGUAGAUAUUCGCAAGAACACCAGUGGCGAAGGCGGCCAACUGGACCAUUACUGACGCUGAGGUGCGAAAGCGUGGGGAGCAAACA
rnacentral:rRNA from 1 species